rnacentral:rRNA from 1 species
GUUAGGAAUAUUGGACAAUGGGCGCAAGCCUGAUCCAGCCAUGCCGCGUGAGUGAUGAAGGCCUUCGGGUUGUAAAGCUCUUUAGUCCACGAAUAUAAUGACUGUAGUGGAAGAAUAAGCCCCGGCUAACUUCGUGCCAGCAGCCGCGGUAAUACGAAGGGGGCGAGCGUUAUUCGGAAUCACUGGACGUAAAGCGUGGGUAGGCUGUUUUGUAAGUCAGAAGUGAAAGCCCAGGGCUUAACCCUGGAAUUGCUUUUGAAACUACAAGACUCGAAUUCGGGAGAGGAUAGCGGAAUUGUCAGUGUAGCAGUGAAAUGCGUAGAUAUUGACAGGAACACCAGUGGCGCAAGCGGCUAUCUGGACUGUAACUGACACUGAGGUACGAAAGCGUGGGGAGCAAACAGGAUUAGAAACCCGGGUAGUCC